UCACUCUCGAUCAGUUCCGAGUACAGGC
rnacentral:piRNA from 1 species